GGGCGGAGGAUCCAGUGCCGAAUGAAGCGUGACUUGAACAUUGCGGUUGAGCGAAACGGCCGGAUAGAAAACGCCGCAUAGGUCGACGAAUGCCACCGUACCCUAAAGAGAAAAAAGAAAAAUUAUCGACCGUUCCCGGCUCUUCGUUGACGAAGAAACUCAACUGACGCCGGUCGAGGUCGAGUAGGACACCAAUUGUAGAACCGACGUCGAUUCCGCCAUCGGUUCGAUGGCUGUGCACGUUAUUGUGUAGGAACCAGGACCGUUGAUGGUCAAUGUACAUGGACCAUCCUAAUUCGUCUUUGCCUGAUACCCAGCAUGGAAUCUCUUGCGACGUCUCGCCUAGCGACGCCAAAUGCUGGAUCGGCUGCUCCAUCGUAACGGUCGACGGUGAAUUCCCAGUAGUGGACGCCACGUGAGAAACCGACCGAACUAAGCAGAACACGCGGUUCGUAACUGUCGGUCGUGGCAGUUAGUCCGUCUGGCGAUAAACGAGUUUCUGCUGGAUAGGCUGUCAUAUCAAAUGUGGAAAUGGAACACCCUUGCGGAUAACAAUUAAAAAAUGUUUCACCUUCGGCCGUGUGAAGACCCAGCGAAUCGCUGUAGGGCCCUUCACCGCUGCUGUUGAAGGCUUUAACACGGGCGUUAUAAAGCGAAUUGAAAUGCAGGCCGUCCACCGUGCAGAUGGUUUCCUUGCCACAGUAAACCUCCUAGGUGAACAUAUCGCGUGAGAAAUUUUUAAUUAUAUUCCCAUUAGAAUAAUAACAUUUUUUGUUUUUCUUCGGUGUGGGACUUACGCGGAAACGGCCGGCGGCGACGCCUCCUCCAUCGUCCAGCUCGAGGACGUAACCUUCGACAAAGGAGGCCGGAUGCGGUUGCCAGGCUACGUGGACAUGAUCAUCUGGUGAGGAGAGGGAUCGUAACUCCAUUUCCCCGCAAUUGUCUAUUCACUCCCGUUUGAUCGUUUACUACGGCCGUAAGCCAGUCAAUCGGCAUGCGCCUGUGCGUGCGUGAUUCGCAUGUCAAGCUCCGUGUAAUUCGAUUGAGUCACGGCUAGACGUAAAGCUCCUUAGCUGACCGUUGUCUACCCGAAAAGACGAAUGACUUGCGGCGUUUUCCCUCCCAAAGACAAAGAAAAAGUUGCCUUUUUAAGACUCCAAUUUCAAGCGUGUACGUGUGUGACUGAAACUUUUGGCCGGCCCCUGUGGCAACCGUCCCGAUAAUUCUCUUUGGCCACGAAAAAAAAAAGAACGAAAUUUAAUAGAGUUCGCGAUUUCUCUUCAUCUAAGGCGAUAGCCUGACAUGGGGGAAUACACUGGCCAAAAUGGUAUCCAUCUUCAUCUAAUAAAGGCAGUGAAACGCGCCAGACAUGUUCCAAGAGAACUAUGCCUUUGCUUAGAACUUUGGGUGAAACUGUUGCGUGGGAUCGUGCGGUUCUCCAUUAAUCAUCGGCCAAUUCCCCGCAGCCGAGCGGGAAGUUUGUCAUUAAGCUGAAAAAGCCGAGCAGAACGAUGGAGGCCAUACUCUCCUCGUUUCCCAAUAAUCGCACAGAGCGAGAUAUUGCAUUUCUAAGAACGUGCGCUGUGCCCGCUGGAAAGUCAGUUGGUCAAUGUUGCGCCGAAGACCUAAAUCGUCCAACGUGAGCUCAAGUGUCGGACUAGCCCGAUUGGUCAAUUCGUCCAUUUCCUGUCGCCAUGUCAGAUCUAAAUUAGAGACGCGAUUGACUAGCAUCGACCCAAUCUGUAAAAUAAAGAGAGAAAAGAAAAACAAUCGAUAAAAGAUUUGAAAUAAAAUGCUUCGAUGCAGAAUUGAACGAGCGCCGUCGUGUGCUGCAGGUGGGCCGUGCAAGUGGCCACCUCUUCCCGCAAUCGUCGCAAUUGCAAGUCACGUUCACGCCGGGCAAAGUCCACCAGGGCUUCUUCCCUGCGUCGCAAUGCUUCCAUCAGUUCCAGACAUUGAACAUGGAUGGCCGAUUCGACGUUGGCACAACUCUCCUAGGAAAUAAAAAGAACACGGCAAAAUGGAUAGAACAUGAAAAUACCGACUUCAUUCAUCUUCCCGCCGACAGAUGGCCACCCGUCAUUUACCUGGACUCGUUCCGACGAGCUCUUCAAGCGAUGGAUCACCUCCGUCGCACUUUUGGCUUUCUCCGACAGCUGUUGCAACGAUUGCGUCAACUCGGCCUGAAAUAAAUCAGAUAAGCGCCAAUAGAUGGACGUCGUGAUUUUGAUGACGACCGGCAUCUGAUAAAACGCACAAGUGGCAGGCUCCCAAUCGACAAGUGUUGCAAUAAUAAGAUUGGACCUGAUCACUGUGUUCGCUGCAGUGUGGAACGGCAUCUGAAGACGACUGCUGUUGCUGUCGGGAAGGCAACAAACAAAAAGAAGGUGGGGUGACGAUGAUGUGGCACGCUAUUUUGCUUCAUUGGAUGACGGCUGUGAGUGGAGAUAAGAGCGUAGGCUCCCGCUGCAAGUUGAAAACCAAUUAUAAAGAAAAAGUUUAAGACGACGAAAGAAGGUGUAUAUACCAGGUUUCCAAGACAACGACGAUUCCAUAUCGUCCCGAACAUUAGAACCACAGCAUAACCAUAACAGGAUAACGUACCAACUGUAAUAGAUCUAUAACAAGAAGCGACUAUUCAAAACGCGGGAAUGGCGAUCGCGAGAGAACUAGUGGCUCCAGGUGAAGGGGUGUUCCGGCAGUGAAUAAUAUUACGACCGAUUUCACCCAUUCCGUAGUCGAAAACAAAGUCCUCUAUUAGACUUCCGUCAGCACCAAGAGCUUGAGCACGGACCCCAGCUGGCCCUCUGCAAAAUAGAAAUAAAAGUGGUUAGUAAUGAUGCAGAAAAUGAACGUACAUUAAAAAGCUCUUUUACAGCUAAACCAACGAAGGCGGAUCGGACUAUUUCUUGAACUCCGAACGAAGCAUAUUUCAAUGCUAAUUUCUGGAAACCACGAUAACUCAACGAAUCGGCAAGGUCUCCUAUACCUGUAUCCUUCACGCUUCAAAGCUAAUACAGCAUUAGGCCCUAGCCAAACAGAUCCAUCUAUUCUUGGGGUAAAGUGGACACCGAGGAAUGGGAAACGAGGAUCAGAUGCCCUACCGGGUAGAUAUUUCCUUUCACUAAAUGUGAUUUCGCAGGAUUGAGCAAAAGAUAUUCACCACGGAAAGGCACAAUGCGUGGCUCCCUCGAGCAGCCUGAAAGUUCUGCCAAACGAUCCGAUUGCAGGCCACCACAAGUUAAGACGUACCGGCAGCGUACAGAUUGCUAAAGAGUAAGUUUCACUUCCGAUUUACUAAUUGCUACAAGCAUAAUUGAAGAACACCUUACCCCAUUGCUUGCUGUGACUUGUAUGCCUUUUUUAUUUGCUGCCACCGCCUUGACUUUACUUUCUUGGGCAACUUUGAAAUCCUUAACUUCAAAGUUGAGAUGAAUUUCACCUCCUAGUGAUUUGAAAUCCUCGCCAUAAUAUUGGGUGACUAAACCCCAGUCCACGAUUCCGGUAUGUGGCGACCACACCGCUUUCAGACCCUAACAAUAGGAUAAACAAUGUAACACUAGCUGAACCAAAGAUGAUGAAAAAUCAUACUUUGUAUGUACCUGACAGUAGGGUUCUAUUUCUUUGAUUUUUGCUCCGUCAACCAUUUGAAUAUCUGGGACACCGUUCUUAAUUCCGCGGUUGUAGAGAUCCUCCAGCCUUGGCAACUCCUCUUUGGCAACAGCUACAAUAAGCUUGCCACAUUUUUUGUAGGGAAUCCCUUUCUCGUCAAAAUACUUGUAGGACAGGUGGAGGCCUUCAACACACAGUUUUGCUUUCAGCGAACCAGGUUUAUAAUAAAUCCCACCAUGUAUCACUCCACUAUUGUGCCCACUUUGAUGUGCAGCUGAAAUUAAACAGAAACAUCUAUUCAUAAAUUCAAAAUCAUUAUCCACCUUAUGUUAACAUCUUGAAAUGGGUCAAAUUUCAUGUUCAUUAGAGGCAUGAACUGAAAUAACAGGAUAUACAAAUUACCCAAACGGUUUUCUUUUUCAAGAACUGCAAAUUUUAAAUUUGGGUGUCUCAUUAACAUCUCCCUUGCAGCUGCCAUCCCAACAAUUCCACCACCAACAAUAACAACAUCAUAUUCUGGCUCCGUUCUUGAUUACAAAAAGAGGCAAUUAGCAUCUGAUUAUCUGUUGAAUGUUUAGAGCAAAAUGCACCACAUUUCAUUACUUAAUCUUUUAAAAUAGAGAUAUUGUUACCCUUGAGAUGAAAAUUUUCUAUUUAUAGCCGAUGACGAAGCUGGAAAACAAACUGCAUUUUGAACAUUUUGGUGGUUUCUCGAAAACGAAGUACAUUUGCGUGCAUUUCGGAAAACGUUGUGCAUUGUGGUAAUCUUCGACAAGUUGUUCGUUCGUCUUGUGUGUUACGUGAGAUGACGGUUUAUGUAAUGUUUGUUGUCGUGCUGAGGGUCAGGUCGACGAGUACAAGAGCCGGCAAGGGCAACAACAAGGUUGAACGUUGGUUCAGCUUACACAGUUCCACCACACUCCAAAAGGUGGCCUUCAUUUAUUUCAAAAAAGAAAUCACACUGCCAUCACAUGCUGAGCAGUUCUUUGAAUUUGUAAUCUCGUCCUUGAGUUGAUCUUUGAUUGUUUUCCGGUUUGAAAUCAAAUAAAACUAAUUCGUAAAAUCUUUGCGAUAACGUGACCUAGAUAAAGCUUAUAACAGCUGUAAAGGAAAACCAUGUAUUUUUCGAUUGGCUCCAAACUCGGGUAAGACACUCUUUCAUCUGUUUGGGUUCAUGAAUUUCUGAUCCAUAUGAGCACAGACUACGAAGUCUGUGAUAUGAGUAAGCAACGAUAAACGAACGUAAUAGUUAAAACAAAAAC